rnacentral:sRNA from 1 species
CGCGCGGCGCGGAGCGGCGAUGGCGGCGGGUGGCAGCGAUCCGCGGGCUGGCGACGUAGAGGAGGACGCCUCACAGCUCAUCUUUCCUAAAGCUUGGAGGGACGGUUUGAAGAUGAGGAACUGCAGCAGAUUCUUGAUGAUAUCCAGACAAAGCGCAGCUUUCAGUAUUAAUCUCCAAACAUCACUGCUGCUCGGAGAAACCACAUCCCCAGGCAUAACACCACCUUCCCACUGUCUGGGGCUGACUUGCACAGAAAUUCUGUUGAAGACAGUUGAGAAUUCCUUUGGAGAAAACAGCCCAGCUUGACGUGGGGUUAGGUUGCUGUUUCAAAUAACUCACAGGCCCAGGUGACAUGGAAUCUUGGAGCAGCCUCGUGCAGUGGCAGCCAGUGGCUUCCUGAACGUGCCUCUGCGAAGUGUGAGAUGAGGGGUCACAUAACCACACUGUUGAGUACCUCAUUCCUGGUUUUUGGCCUCCACAUCAUCUUUUUUCUUAAUAUUUCAUGUUUUAAUUUCAGGGUGUUUAUACUUUUUGAAACUAGACCAGAACAUAGUAGACUUUAUAGAGAAAGACCAGUUUUACCUAGAUAAUAAAGGAAGAAUUAAACCGCUGUUAGUUUGAAAUGCUUUUUUUUUUUUUUUUUUUUUUUAAUAAUGGAGAUAGGGUCUUAACUCUUGUCCAGGCCGGAGGAGUGCAGUCGUACAGUCAUGGCUCACUGAAGUCUUGACCCCGCUGCCUCAGCCUCCAAAAUAACUGGGGCCACAGGUGUGCACCACAACUCUCAGCUAAUUUUUAAAAUUUUUUAUAGAGGUGGGGUUUUACUAUGCUGUCCAGACUGGUCUUAAACUCCUGGGCUCAAGUGAUCCCCCUGCCUUGGCCUCCCAAACUGGUGAGAUUACAGGCAUGAGCCACCACAACUGGCCUGAAAUUCUUAAAGGAUGGGAGUGUCGAUGACAGCACCUUGGCAUCGUUGUGCCUAACCUGGGAGACGGAAGAAGCACGCCAUGGGAAGUGUUUACACUUGGGGACAAGUGCUAAGUAUUG